rnacentral:rRNA from 1 species
AGAGUUUGAUCUGGCUCAGAUUGAACGCUGGCGGCAGGCCUAACACAUGCAAGUCGAGCGGUAACAGAAAGUAGCUUGCUACUUUGCUGACGAGCGGCGGACGGGUGAGUAAUGCUUGGGAACAUGCCUUGAGGUGGGGGACAACAGUUGGAAACGACUGCUAAUACCGCAUAAUGUCUUCGGACCAAAGGGGGCUUCGGCUCUCGCCUUUAGAUUGGCCCAAGUGGGAUUAGCUAGUUGGUGAGGUAAUGGCUCACCAAGGCAACGAUCCCUAGCUGGUUUGAGAGGAUGAUCAGCCACACUGGAACUGAGACACGGUCCAGACUCCUACGGGAGGCAGCAGUGGGGAAUAUUGCACAAUGGGCGAAAGCCUGAUGCAGCCAUGCCGCGUGUGUGAAGAAGGCCUUCGGGUUGUAAAGCACUUUCAGUCAGGAGGAAAGGGUGUGAGUUAAUACCUCACAUCUGUGACGUUACUGACAGAAGAAGCACCGGCUAACUCCGUGCCAGCAGCCGCGGUAAUAC